CUGAGGGCUUUUAUACCCGGUGGGAUUUGCCGCCUCCCUUUUCCCAGGCAGCGUGGGAAAAAGAGGCGGGCUCAAUUAGGGGUAUAUUAACCCCAGGCUGUGCUAAGGGGCAUUAUUCCCUCCAAGGGAAUCAGCUGGGCUAAAGAGCUUGUCUCUCAUUUCAGCGAAGAGGCUCUUUCAAUUUACUCCAGCCUGCUUUUAGCAGGUAUCUUUUGGGCAUUUGAAGCAGCAGAGGUUUUGAAAACACCUUGAAGAAAACAUUAUGGAACACAGGGAGUAUUUAAGUUCAUGAUUUUGGGUUGAGAGUUCAGGGGUGAUAAGAUGCUUUUAUAAUGAUUCUUCUGUUUGGGUUUUUUUUAGGAGGAUUGCAGUUUCCUGAAGUUCUAGGUCACGUCAAGUGCGAUACUUCAGAUUCUCUCAGCAGAUUCAUCGUGACACAAAAGGGAACCGCUGUGGCAGCUUUCCUUAGCAGCAGAUUAGUCUCUCCGAUGGAUUCGCUUCGGAGAGAUAAGUCGAGGGCUGUGGUCACAGAGGGGAUCGAAGCAGGGUAGUGGGUUAGGAUUCACACCGGUUAGGGUUUUGAGUCAGCUAUGGGGAGGGGGAGGUUUGAGAACUGGCCUCUAGGGCCACGGUGAGGGAAAGGCUCACUUUGGCUAACAAUGCUGAGGCGGGCAGGGCAGAGCAGUCCCAAGGUGUGUUGUCACUUGUCUGUUGUGCUUUCUGUGUCUUCCGUUCAUCUCGUGUAACAUGUCUCUUGCCUUAGUCCUCCCAGGAGCUUAUGAGAAACCCCAGGUCCUUCCGGUCAUCUCCCAUCUUUGCGUUCCUCGGCCCGGGGCCGACGCCGGCGAAGUUUCGAUUCGGGAGGUCAGACAGGCAUCAGAAUCGCAUCUCUGUUCAGCAGCAUCCGAUCGGAUGUCUUUUUAGGUCUUGUUCUCAGCUGUGUUGACAGCUGUAUGCAGUAAUCUUUCUUUACAGUGGAUAAGGACUUGUGCCGAUUCAAAGGCAGGCAGAGGCUUCCAGCCACAGGAUUCUCAGGCAUCCGUCUCCGCGGUUCUCGGAAUAAGUCGUUCCGUUAGCAUCUUUUUCCUCCGGGGUCAUCCGAGCCCGGCGGGCUCGCCUUCGGUCCCUCCUCGGUCAUCUUGUUCAGCAUUUUCUCAGUCCUCGUGAGGACUUUCUCGUCUCAGAGUUUUCUCUCCCUGUCGUGUCCCCUCGUCUCACGUGUCACGGGUGUCUGGGGGUAUUCGGUCCGGAACUGCUCUGCCCUGCCGCCCGGCCCCGUUGCAGGUGUUCAAGGACAAGUCCCGGGCACUUGUAAUUGGAGACUUGUAAUACGGGCUGUAGUUGGAGUCUAGGUAGUAUUCUUAUGUUGGCAGAAGGUGUCUGGAGCUGUGAAGUUACCCUGCAGCACUUCGACCUUUUUCCUAACUUUCUUUCAGAUGCGGAUGGAUCGACCUCCUGGCAGAGCGCCUCGUCCCAGAUGAGGGGAUCCCCCUGAGAAGGAAGUAAAGCCGGAUAGCAGCAGUGAAGGUGAAGCAUUGUGAAGGUGGUCUACUUGCAAGAUAUCCCAGCCCAGGAUGCCAGAGGACAGGUUCCGUGCAGAGAGGCAGAGCCGAAGUUUGCGAUCGGCCGCACCGAAGCCGGCACGGGGGACGUCUCGACGUACACAUCCUAUCGAGGAUGGGCCUUGUCCUA